AUUGAACGCUGGCGGCAUGCCUUACACAUGCAAGUCGAACGGCAGCAUGGAAGAGCUUGCUCUUCUGAUGGCGAGUGGCGAACGGGUGAGUAAAGCAUCGGAACGUACCGUGUAGUGGGGGAUAACCUCGGGAAACCGGGGCUAAUACCGCAUAACAUCACGAGGGGAAGAUCCUUGUGAUCAAAGGAGCAAUUCGCUCAAGGAGGGGGUCGCGGCUGAUUAGCUAGUUGGUGAGGUAACGGCUCACCAAGGCUUAGAUCAGUAGCCGGCCUGAGAGGGCGCACGGCCACACUGGAACUGAAACACGGUCCAGACUCCUACGGGAGGCAGCAGUGGGGAAUUUUGCGCAAUGGGGGAAACCCGUCGACGCAGCAACG
rnacentral:rRNA from 1 species